UGGGGAAUUUUGCUCAAUGGGGGCAACCCUGAAGCAGCGAUGCCGCGUGAAGGAUGAAGGUCUUCGGAUUGUAAACUUCUUUUGCAGGGGAAAAAUGUCUGGGUGAAGAGCCCAGAAUGGUGGUACUCUGCGAAUAAGCCACGGCUAACUUCGUGCCAGCAGCCGCGGUAAGACGAAGGUGGCGAGCGUUACUCGGAAUUACUAGGCGUAAAGCAUGGGCAGGUGGUUUGGUAAGUCUGUUGUGAAAGCUCCUGGCUUAACCGGGAGAUGCCAAUGGAUACUGCUAGACUUGAAUGUGGGAGAGGUCACUGGAAUUCCUGGUGUAGCGGUGAAAUGCGUAGAUAUCAGGAGGAACACCGAUGGCGAAAGCAGGUGACUGGACCACUAUUGACACUCAUCCAUGAAAGCUGGGGGAUCAAACAGG
rnacentral:rRNA from 1 species